CAGCGCCCAAUGGAGCUCUCAACACUCCAACUCUGAAACGAGGUGAUGGCAACGCUACAGCAGCUGGCUCAUGGACACCCCUGGCUGCGCAGGGUAGACCCGCACCGUAGUGGCCCGCGCAGGCUAAGGGUUUGCAUGAGCUGGGAGACGUGCUUGCCUUCAUCUUUUUGGUAUUGGGGUGAAGGGAGCUCCUUUGCUCUCUUUU
rnacentral:pre_miRNA from 2 species